GAGAGCACAUUACGAUGAAAGUUGUGAGUUGUGUUCGGGGGGGAGUUAUUGUCUAUCGUUGGCCUCUAUGGUAGAAUCAGUCGGGGAGGCCUGAGAGACGGUGCUUUACCCUGU
rfam:Picea glauca, whole genome shotgun sequence.